rnacentral:misc_RNA from 1 species
UUUCCGUAGGUGAACCUGCGGAAGGAUCAUUAACGAGUUAGGGUCUUCUAGGCCCGACCUCCCAACCCUUUGUUUACUGAACCAUUGUUGCCUCGGUGGGUCCGUCUUACGACCGCCGGGGGAUCGCCGCGAGGCGCCUCCUGGCCAGCGCCCACCGAUAGCCCAACCUUUAAAACCCUUUGUGAAUCGUGUCUUAUGUCUAAAUUUAUGAUUAAACAAUCAAAACAAAACUUUCAACAACGGAUCUCUUGGUUCUG